rnacentral:rRNA from 1 species
AAGUCGUAACAAGGUUUCCGUAGGUGAACCUGCGGAAGGAUCAUUCAUAAUCAAGUGUUUUUAUGGCACUUUCAAAAAUCCAUAUCCACCUUGUGUGCAAUGUCAUCUCACUGGAGGUCAACGGCUGUAAAAAUCCGUUGGUCACCUUUGGGAUUUAUAUCUACUCAGAACUUUAGUGAUUUUGUCUGAAACAUAUUAUGAAUACUUAAUUCAAAAUACAACUUUCAACAACGGAUCUCUUGGCUCUCGCAUCGAUGAAGAACGCAGCGAAAUGCGAUACGUAAUGUGAAUUGCAGAAUUCAGUGAAUCAUCGAAUCUUUGAACGCAUAUUGCGCUCUCUGGUAUUCCGGAGAGCAUGCUUGUUUGAGUAUCAGUAAACACCUCAACUCCCCUUUCUUUUUUGAAAUGAGAGAGCUGGACUUGAGUGAUCCCAACACUUUUCUUCACUGAAAAGUGGCGGGUCACUUGAAAUGCAGGUGCAGCUGGACUUUUCUCUGAGCUAUAAGCAUAUCUAUUUAGUCUGCCUAAAAAACAGAUUAUUACCUUUGCUGCAGCUAACAUAAAGGAGAUGAGUUCUUGUGCUGACUGAUGCAGGAUUCACAGAGACAGCUUCGCGGCUGACUUUGUAAACUCGAUCUCAAAUCAAGUAAGACUACCCGCUGAACUUAA